GGGGAUAUCGCUCAGUGGCACAGCAUCUGCCUGGCAAGCGCAAAAUCCUGAGUUCAAUUCCUGAUACUCCCA
rnacentral:tRNA from 1 species